rnacentral:rRNA from 1 species
CCCGUACACAAAAAUGCACAUAUUGUGAGCUCGAUGAGUAGGGCGGGACACGUGGUAUCCUGUCUGAAUAUGGGGGGACCAUCCUCCAAGGCUAAAUACUCCUGACUGACCGAUAGUGAACCAGUACCGUGAGGGAAAGGCGAAAAGAACCCCGGCGAGGGGAGUGAAAAAGAACCUGAAACCGUGUACGUACAAGCAGUGGGAGCACGCUUAGGCGUGUGACUGCGUACCUUUUGUAUAAUGGGUCAGCGACUUAUAUUCUGUAGCAAGGUUAACCGAAUAGGGGAGCCGAAGGGAAACCGAGUCUUAACUGGGCGUUAAGUUGCAGGGUAUAGACCCGAAACCCGGUGAUCUAGCCAUGGGCAGGUUGAAGGUUGGGUAACACUAACUGGAGGACCGAACCGACUAAUGUUGAAAAAUUAGCGGAUGACUUGUGGCUGGGGGUGAAAGGCCAAUCAAACCGGGAGAUAGCUGGUUCUCCCCGAAAGCUAUUUAGGUAGCGCCUCGUGAAUUCAUCUCCGGGGGUAGAGCACUGUUUCGGCAAGGGGGUCAUCCCGACUUACCAACCCGAUGCAAACUGCGAAUACCGGAGAAUGUUAUCACGGGAGACACACGGCGGGUGCUAACGUCCGUCGUGAAGAGGGAAACAACCCAGACCGCCAGCUAAGGUCCCAAAGUCAUGGUUAAGUGGGAAACGAUGUGGGAAGGCCCAGACAGCCAGGAUGUUGGCUUAGAAGCAGCCAUCAUUUAAAGAAAGCGUAAUAGCUCACUGGUCGAGUCGGCCUGCGCGGAAGAUGUAACGGGGCUAAACCAUG